UUCAGAUGGUGCCCACUCAUCUUGGAUUGCACCUGAGAGCUUUCCACUUGUGACCUAGCUGUUUCGGCAGAGUUCCUUCUCAGACCGCCCUGAAUCAGCUCCGAUGCCUUGCUUACGAGUGGUUUCCAACGAAUCCAAAAACACGGCGGAAGAAACGAACAUAACUUUGUGAAAUUAAGAUAAAGAGAGGAGUAAACUUACCGGUUCGAAGUGUAGUCGGUGUUCGUCGGUCCUCGGUGGUGGCGUAUUGCAGAUGUGAGCUUCGUAUUCGUGAUGAAUGUGUGGUUGAUGACAAGCACCAAUUUCAAAUUGUGCUCUGAGUUCAUCGAGGAUGUUCACUUCGAAGCUCCACUGGUUUGCUUUCGAUCGUCCACCUCUCUCUCUGUCUUGCUUCUUCUUCCUCCUCCCUCUAUCACUGAGUGAGUUUUUCCUUUUGUAUGUGUGCUUGAAUCUAUGGUGUGAAUGAAUAAGUCUUACUUCUCCUGUUUCGAUCCUCUGAUAAUCGUCACGUUGGAAUUUAAGUGCUUGUUCUGAACCGUUUUCUGUUGGUUGAAGAGAUGGAAAAUCCACUGCUUCGAUUCACUCUUGAUUUUCCUCCUUCUGUUUACAAUUUUUUCUGAUAAGCAUGCGUGUGGUUGUUGCGUGAAGGAGUUUCGGCUGCAGAAUCCGGUGAAAUCCAAUGGCGGCAUUGGGUUGCAGAAUCAAGUUGCCAAAUCCAGCUGCACAAAUGGAGUCACAGCAUCUAGUUACAGAAUGGAGAAGAAGGAGAAGUCGCUCCAGUUGCAGAAAUGGUGAAUAAAGAGAAGUAGUAGAAAUGGAGAAGAAAGAGAAGUCCCCCCAGUUGCAGAAAUGGUUUUGAAGGUUGAUGUUGCUGACCUGUUGUGAUAUGGAUUGGAUGUCAUAUUUUAGGCAUGGAAUGUGGGAUUAUAUUGGUUUUGUAUGUGACAAUUAUGCAUGUUAUUCAUUGAUGAAAUUGAAAUGAAAUUGCAGGUGCUUAUGUACAGUGCUGGUGUUGCAGCCUAUAUGUUCUCUCAUGAAUUUGACCUUACAUUGGCUUGCUUUCGUCGGGUUUAACAUGGUGAUUUGGACUUGUGCUUUGGCCUAGGCUCGGCAGGAAGCAAGUAAGUUGUCUUUAUUCAGACCAAUGGAAACCGGCUUGAACUCAUGGAACUCGUGGGAUUGGCUAUUGGAGCUGGGAGUUAUAAUCCUUGUACUUGGUUGUUGAUUUGUUUUAAUUUGGGAUAUGGAUGUAUGGUAAUGAAUGUAAUUUGAGCUGGUAAUUGUAUGUACAUAUUUAUUUUGUAGAACAUGGUUUUGAAUACAUGAUGUAUGAUUAAUGGAUUUUAGAAUUGUAAUA